rnacentral:lncRNA from 1 species
AAGGGAAAAGAUCCCACUUGUACACAUAUAUCUAUAGCAGCUCCUUAAUUUCAAUGCUGUUGAGCAUCUGGUUCCUCAGGCCAGCCAGAACUUCACCACCUACAGCAACUCAGGUGUACUGGGUUUAUCUGAAUUUGAGAUGCAAAGGAUUGAGUUGCUACAGCUGUUACAUUCUUGGGAGGAAUCAUUCAAGUCGCCAUGUUUGUGCUGCAUCUGGGCAGUGCCACAUUCUUGCUAACAGAACCUGUGAUCAGUGCAAUGAAAACUGGAGCUGCCACCCAUGUUGUGACCUCACAAGUCAAGUUUCUCCUUGGAUUGAAAACGCCCUAUAUCUCAGGUCCAUUGGGAUUCUUUCAUUCUACAUCAGUGGGUGCUGAGGAGAGGAAGAGUCCUGCAUCUAGACUGCCAUCAUGCUCACCUGGAAGUCUCAUUUUGUUUGUUUUUGAUGAAAGAACACAAGCUGACUUAGGGAAGCAGAGAGAAGCACUGCUGUUUUAGUAUAUUCAUCUGACUCUCUCUAAGACUGCUUGAAAUAUUAACUAAUCCUGCUUUGCCCUAAAGACACCAUUUGUUUAUCUAUCCUGAUAACCUAUUUUGCUUUUGCUUUUAGCUAAGAAUAGACUUCUAUCUAUCACUUCUAAACUACUGUUUCUCAAAUACCAAAGUUUGGCCCAUUGAGUAGUGCCAUUUCCCAAGAGAGUCCGGUGAGAUAUAUCAGAAAAUGUUACCCAUGACAAGUAAAAAUGCCUAUUUGGAGAGUCUCAUUGCAUUCUCUAAGAGGCAUCUGGGUAGGGUAAUAGAUAAUGCUGUACUUGGAAUCAGGAAGAUCUGCGUUCAAAUCUUUCCUUAGAUGCUUCUCUUAUAUGUGACCCUCGGCACAUCAGAAAAACUCAAUCAGCCACAUUUUCCUUAUUUGGAAAAUGAGAAUAAUGACAACAUCUAUCCCUCAAAGUUUUUGUGAGGCUCGAGUGAUAUAACUUGUAUAAAGUGUUUUUCAAACCUUAAAAUAGCACAUAAAUGUUAGCUUUCAUCAUUAUCAUCAUUAGAAAGGAUAUGCGUGUGUGUGUGUGUGUGUGUGUGUGUGUGUGUGUAGGGGAGAAAU